CUCGGCGGUCCUUCUCUGUUGCCCAUAUUGGGUAAUGUCGAGACCCAACCAAAGAUUCCAGCAACAUCAGUUUGACCUGGGGUAAGGGGUUCUUCAUUCCAGACACUCAGGGUCUUUUCCUUUGGAAUGGAAUGGGGGUGUAGUGGGGAGGGUGCCCUGUCAGGGGGUGCUGCUCAGCACAGGGUAAAGAUGUGCAGGUGUCUGGCCUGCAUCUUCUAUCAGCCCCCAUAGCGGGAAGGAGACCCACAGCAGGGGAUCCUGACGGGGGACACGCCCACACCUGUCCUUCAAGGCUGGCCCUGAUGGCGAGCUCACAGCUCCUCCCAAGUCCUGUCUGGGCCCUGUCAGAGCAGAGCCGAGGACCAGGAGGUGCCACAACACCAAGGGGACAGGCCCCGCAGAACGCUGUGGGGAGGAAGACAUGACACAACAGCUUCAAAGCACCCGGCAGAGCUCUCGCCUCCUUCCCUGUGAUUGCCAGUGUCCAGAUGGGCAGUCGGUCAGCCCUGGGACUGCCCGAGUGUUGCCUGCACUCAGCAGCCGUGACCCAGAGCUCAGCUGCGCAGCACGGAAAAAACAGGGGCUGUCGUGGAGGAAUUUGUGUUCUCAUCACACAUUCAGAAAUUAAUUUUUUUUAAGAACUUAUACUUUUGGACUCUUAUAAACAAUCCAUCUUCUAAAAGUCCUCCUGGGACAGGCUGAAUAGCCUCAAGGAUGCUUUCUUCAGAACAUGGUGACGCUUUCCCAGCAGGGCUGGAAGGGCGGACGCUGGCAUCCCCGUUGCUCCCAGAGGCCCCCCUGACAGGGUCUGCCCUGGGCUAGAAUCCGGUGCACCUCCCUUUCGGGUCCUUACCACAACCUGGGACAUCUUGAGACUGGACCCCUAGAUUGGUGGCAGGACCUGCUCCGAGCUGCCCAGCGAGACCUGGGCAAGCCGCCCCCACCAGCCCGGGGCUCCCGACCUCCUCUGUGCUCGUGCCUGCGCCCUCACCCAUGCAAUGCCCUGCCCACAAACGCCCCCUUCUCCCAAGCAAAGUGGAGGGCUUUGCUGAAGCCAUCUUGAUUCUUCCUCCCUGCAGCUACUAAAACAGGCAGCGCUGGCAGCUGAGGGGC
rnacentral:lncRNA from 1 species